GAUGGCGAGGCAGCCUCCUGGGAUAACACUGACGCUCAUGCACGAAAGCGUGGGGAGCAAACAGGAUAGCUACCCUGGUAGUCCACGCCCUAAACGAUGUCAACUAGCUGUUGGGGCCUUCGGGCCUUGGUAGCGCAGCUAACGCGUGAAGUUGACCGCCUGGGGAGUACGGUCGCAAGAUUAAAACUCAAAGGAAUUGACGGGGACCCGCACAAGCGGUGGAUGAUGUGGAUUAAUUCGAUGCAACGCGAAAAACCUUACCUACCCUUGACAUGUCUGGAAUCCUGAAGAGAUUUGGGAGUGCUCGCAAGAGAACCGGAACACAGGUGCUGCAUGGCUGUCGUCAGCUCGUGUCGUGAGAUGUUGGGUUAAGUCCCGCAACGAGCGCAACCCUUGUCAUUAGUUGCUACGAAAGGGCACUCUAAUGAGACUGCCGGUGACAAACCGGAGGAAGGUGGGGAUGACGUCAAGUCCUCAUGGCCCUUAUGGGUAGGGCUUCACACGUCAUACAAUGGUCGGGACAGAGGGUCGCCAACCCGCGAGGGGGAGCCAAUCCCAGAAACCCGAUCGUAGUCCGGAUCGCAGUCUGCAACUCGACUGCGUGAAGUCGGAAUCGCUAGUAAUCGCGGAUCAGCAUGUCGCGGUGAAUACGUUCCCGGGUCUUGUACACACCGCCCGUCACACCAUGGGAGUGGGUUUUACCAGAAGUAGUUAGCCUAACCGUAAGGGGGGCGAUUACCACGGUAGGAUUCAUGACUGGGGUGAAGUCGUAACAAGGUAGCCGUAUCGGAGGUGCGGCUGGAUCACCUCUCU
rnacentral:rRNA from 1 species